rfam:Bacillus subterraneus strain MITOT1 contig_13, whole genome shotgun sequence.
AAACAUUCGGUUGGACAAGAUUUAUCGUGAGAAGUCAGCAGAGGUCAUAGUAAUUCCAAGAACGGAAUGAAGGAC